rnacentral:rRNA from 1 species
AUACGGAGGAUGCAAGCGUUAUCCGGAUUUAUUGGGUUUAAAGGGUGCGUAGGCGGGACUGUAAGUCAGGGGUGAAAUACUGCAGCUUAACUGUAGCAUUGCCUUUGAAACUGCCGUUCUCGAGUACAGUUGAGGUAGGCGGAAUGUGGUGUGUAGCGGUGAAAUGCAUAGAUAUACCACAGAACGCCGAUUGCGAAGGCAGCUUACUAAGCUGUUACUGACGCUGAGGCACGAAAGCAUUUAGAUCAAACAGGAUUAGAUACCAUGAUAGUCCACGGUGUAAACAAUGAUUACUGGUUGUUAGCGAUAUAUAGCUAGUGACUGAGCGAAAGCAUUAAGUAAUCCACCUGGGGAGUACGUCGGCAACGAUGAAACUCAAAGGAAUUGUCGGGG